rnacentral:lncRNA from 1 species
UACCUGCAUAGAAGCUUCAACUGUCUCAGUUCCCUUCUUCAUUGCACCUGUUAUCUGCUGGUUAUUAGUCGUCUCCUGUCCACAAUUAAUGAGCCCAGCACCUUCCUUAAAACCUGUUGCAGCUGCACUUCCCAAAACAACAUCUUCAAGUUCCUGCACCUCAUUUUGCACUGUAGUAGCUAUUAACUCAGCUGGUUUUUCAGUUAGAUCAACUUGUGCAGCAUUAGCUUUAAUAACCCCAGCAGUACAUCGAUUACCAGUAGCAUUCAAUGCAACCUUAGCCUCCAAUUGCGAACCUACAGAAACUGGUAGUUUUACAGCUUUGUCAACUUGUCCUACUACUACUGUUGCUGCAUUAUUCUUGUCAAAAAUUGCUCGAACAGCUGCAGCUAAAACACUGUCAUCCAUCAGCCCAUGUUCAAAAGCUGAACCCUUAGAACUUCCAGCUAAAUCUCGAUCAACCACAGUAUUUUUUGCAGCCUUCAAGUCCUGAGCAACUCUUGCAAGGGCUUCAGCAACUGGGACAAUUGCACUAAAAACAGGAUUAAGCCCUGCAUCAUCAGAAUCAACAUUAUCUCGAUGUGCUGCUGCUAUAUGCCCUGCUGCAUUAAUUGCUUAUUCUGCAUAUUCAUGAGCCUUUUGAUGUGUUCUGUCUUUUCCCACAUCAACCAAGCUCCCUGACGAUUUAGCUAGCUGUAAUGCAUUUAAGAAAUACCUGGCAUCCCCUUUCAAUUUUUCAACCUUGCUCAUCUCCUCAGCCAAGGCCAAAACUUCAGCAGGCAUUAUACGUUCAGUAGCAAUAGUCGUCUCAAUCAAANNNNNNNNNNNNNNNNNNNNNNNNNAAAAAGCCUCACCUACUAGAACGCAUGUAAAAAAUAAGAACUGGAGAGUACCAAAUAUUCAAUGAUCAUCACACAGUUUAUAAUAUACUCUGUGAUGAUAUUACAAAUGAGAAUACUAAUAAAGUGGUAUAAUAGAAUGAAGUACCAAUUUGGUUCCUGUCCCUUCUUUUCCAAACAUGUAAAAUCUUCAAUUUGUAAUUCUUUGUUAUUUUCCUCAACCGUGUACAAAAAGUAUUCAAAAAUCAUCAUUUCCUUUUUGAACGGUUGGACCUCGUUGAGGUAGUUGGGGCAGCCUUCUUUUGUUUGGCAACUCUCAUUGGAGGUCGCCUAACAUUUAAAAAAUCACUGACCUUGUCGUCCCAACUAUUUUUCCUUGUAUGUGCCUUCUUUAUUUUUCCACUAUGCAUAGGUGAUAGGUCACCUUUUCUUGAUGCCUCUGCCCGGCAUUGUUGCAAAAUUGCAUCUUCUUCUCCUUCCUCAUACAUAUCUAUUCCCACAUUCACUGGAUGCGGUCGAUUGUCGUGGAGGUCAAGUGUUAUCAAUUCAUUUCCUUCUUGUGUAUUUGCUAAGGCUGUAGUGUUUUGAAGUUGUUGUAUGGCUUGCAAUUUAUUUCUGUACUUAGUCAUAUUUACAGUGCUUUUAGCUUGCAUUGGACUUAUGUAGUUUAGGAGUUUAGGUCUUACCAAAGCGUCAAGUAACUCUCUAUCCUCCAAAGAAAUAAGUGUUGCCUGCUGCAAAGCAUCAUGUUGUUGUUCAGAAUUUGGAGACAUUACUGCAGCCCCUGCGAUACUUUGAUUUUGCUGCUGCUGUCGGAGUGGACUGCUUGCAAGCUGCACUUGCUGUCCAUGCGCAAAAUUUAUUUGCUGCUGCUAGAAACAAUAGCAUGGAGGACAUUAGUAGGUGUAAAAAUGUAUUUUACAGCCGUUGUAUUGUUAUUUCCAGUAACUACUGCUUUGUGCAUCGACGAAAUUUCGAUCUCCUUCGAAACUGAUGCAUUACUAAGCUUUUGUUUCGGCCCGGCAGGUACAAAAACAGCAGCAUUAGGACUCAAACCUUUCUUGAUUUGCACUCUUUGAUAAUAGCUUGAAACUUGUUCCUUGUGCACCUCUACUGCCCCUUCAUUUGAAGUAUAUGAACAAUGAUCUGCUUCCUCCUCAGAAACACUCAGGUUGUCAAAAUUAGUGUCUUCCUCGUGUUCACGUUGAUCAGCCCAUGUUUUGCGAGUAAGGAAAAAUUCACUCGUCACAUCUUGUUUUUCCUUGGAAUCAAGCAUUUUAUUUGCAUAGUUUGCUUGAGAUAUUGCAGCCAUACUUUUCUCUACCUGUUAGUUAUUUCCAGUAGAUAAAAAUUGCUACCCAGAAUCGCCAUCUCUCUCACCAAACGAUUCCAUUGACUGGGAUGGAAUGUCAUGAACGGUGGUAUUCAAUGUAACCAAUGGAGCAUGGAUCUUUGGAGUUGUGUUUAUGAACAUCGCUGCCUGAUCAUCCUUUACCAUCUUGGCCAGAUCUGAAUUGGAUAUCUUUAAAGUUGGUGAGGCUGCAUUAGGUACUGCCCCUGCCUUUUGCUCGUCAACAGGAACAAGAGCAAGAUCCUCGACGUUUGAUCGAGCAUCUGCGUUCUUAAUGGACUGUUGUUGCUUUCCACUGCCUGGUGAAUUGGACAGCCUAAUUGUUGAAACUAAAUCAUGAUCAACCUGUUGUAUGUUCAUCUCAACAUCCCCCAAUGUAGGUUCAUUUAGCAAAACAUCAAAAGAGUUAGAACACCUGAGGUUGUUUGCGUCUAUAACCUGAUUUGUGAUACCUCGAGAAUUCUUUUAUGUUAGGUGACAUGUUUGAUCGAUUUACUACUGUGAAGUCACCACCCUUAGAUUGUUGCAACCCUUUAGCACCUGACGUAAAAGCAUCAGUUACUUGUGUACGAGCAGCAGCAGAUUUCACUGUAGUCGUGAGUACCUGCAUAGAAGCUUCAACUGUCUCAGUUCCCUUUUUCAUUGCACCUGUUAUCUGCUGGUUAUUAGUCGUCUCCUGUCCACAAUUAAUGAGCCCAACACCUUCCUUAAAACCUGUUGCAGCUGCACUUCCCAAAACAACAUCUUCAAGUUCCUGCUCCUCAUUUUGCACUGCAGUAGCUAUUAACUCAGCUGGUUUUUC